AACGAACGCUGGCGGCAUGCCUAACACAUGCAAGUCGAACGAGACCUUCGGGUCUAGUGGCGCACGGGUGCGUAACGCGUGGGAAUCUGCCCUCUGGUUCGGAACAACAGUUGGAAACGACUGCUAAUACCGGAUAAUGACUUCGGUCCAAAGAUUUAUCGCCUGAGGAUGAGCCCGCGUCGGAUUAGCUUGUUGGUGAGGUAAAAGCUCACCAAGGCGACGAUCCGUAGCUGGUCUGAGAGGAUGAUCAGCCACACUGGGACUGAGACACGGCCCAGACUCCUACGGAAGGCAGCAGUGGGGAAUAUUGGACAAUGGGCGAAAGCCUGAUCCAGCAAUGCCGCGUGAGUGAUGAAGGCCUUAGGGUUGUAAAGCUCUUUUACCCGGGAUGAUAAUGACAGUACCGGGAGAAUAAGCCCCGGCUAACUCCGUGCCAGCAGCCGCAGUA
rnacentral:rRNA from 1 species